rnacentral:rRNA from 1 species
GACGAACGCUGGCGGCGUGCUUAACACAUGCAAGUCGUACGGUAAGGCCCUUUCGGGGGUACACGAGUGGCGAACGGGUGAGUAACACGUGAGUAACCUGCCCACAACUUUGGGAUAACGCUAGGAAACUGGUGCUAAUACUGGACAUGUGCUCCUGCUGCAUGGUGGGGGUUGGAAAGCUCCGGCGGUUGUGGGUGGACUCGCGGCCUAUCGGCUUGUUGGCGGGGUAGUGGCCUACCAAGGCGGCGACGGGUAGCCGGCCUGAGAGGGUGACCGGCCACAUUGGGACUGAGAUACGGCCCAGGCUCCGACGGGAGGCAGCAGUGGGGAAUAUUGCACAAUGGGCGCAAGCCUGAUGCAGCAACGCCGCGGGCGGGAUGACGGCCUUCGGGUUGUAAACCGCUUUCAGCAGGGACGAAGCUUUUUGUGACGGUACCUGCAGAAGAAGCACCGGCUAACUACGUG